UAUUUUCUUCUAAACAUGAGUAUCUAUGUGGGUGUCUUCAUGUUGGGGUUUCUUUCUGACAGAAUAGUGGGCAUUGUAUAUGAACAGCAGAAACCCCAGUUUACCAUGAGAUAAAGAUAUUCUCCUUCAAUAAUUGAGUAAAAUAUUUGUUCUGUUGAGAAACAGAUCAAUCUUCUGCAACUGAAUCUGUUGGGAGGUAAUAAGUACACAGUGGAAUAGUCUACGUUAAAACAAGUAGACCUGGGCUACCACCGUCCCGCUGUUAUCUGAAAAAUAAAAACUUUUUGCAGCUGAACCUAGAACGAUCAUUUGGUUACUGUCAAUCGAUGAUUUUUUCUUUUAUGGAGCACCAAAUAUUUGGUUGAGGUUCAUACGUAAGGAAGUGUUAU
rnacentral:lncRNA from 1 species